rnacentral:rRNA from 1 species
UACGUAGGGUGCGAGCGUUAAUCGGAAUUACUGGGCGUAAAGCGUGCGCAGGCGGUUGUGCAAGACAGAUGUGAAAUCCCUGGGCUCAACCCAGGAACUGCGUCCGAUACUGGAAGGCUUGAAUCCGGGAGAGGGAUGCGGAAUUCCAGGUGUAGCGGUGAAAUGCGUAGAUAUCUGGAGGAACACCGGUGGCGAAGGCGGCAUCCUGGACCGGUAUUGACGCUGAGGCGCGAAAGCCAGGGGAGCAAACGGG